rnacentral:rRNA from 1 species
UGGGGAAUAUUGCGCAAUGGGGGGAACCCUGACGCAGCCAUGCCGCGUGAAUGAAGAAGGCCUUCGGGUUGUAAAGUUCUUUCGGUAUUGAGGAAGGUUGAUGUGUUAAUAGCACAUCAAAUUGACGUUAAAUACAGAAGAAGCACCGGCUAACUCCGUGCCAGCAGCCGCGGUAAUACGGAGGGUGCGAGCGUUAAUCGGAAUAACUGGGCGUAAAGGGCACGCAGGCGGUUAUUUAAGUGAGGUGUGAAAGCCCUGGGCUUAACCUAGGAAUUGCAUUUCAGACUGGGUAACUAGAGUACUUUAGGGAGGGGUAGAAUUCCACGUGUAGCGGUGAAAUGCGUAGAGAUGUGGAGGAAUACCGAAGGCGAAGGCAGCCCCUUGGGAAUGUACUGACGCUCAUGUGCGAAAGCGUGGGGAGCAAACAGGAUUAGAUACCCUGGUAGUCCACGCUGUAAACGCUGUCGAUUUGGGGAUUGGGCUUAGAGCUUGGUGCCCGUAGCUAACGUGAUAAAUCGACCGCCUGGGGAGUACGGCCGCAAGGUCA